AUGCACGAGGGUCAGUGUAUUGUGUUCUUCAAAUGACGUGUUUGCAUAAAAUAAAUAAUAUUAGUUUCUAUAUGCAUUGAUUAUAACAAUUAAUAAUUUGAAUGAAAUUUAUAUUUAUUUAGAAUGAAAAACCAAUCAAAUCUAAUACUAUUUUUUGAAUCAAUAGCAUAAGUAUUUGAAAAAAAGGAAAUUACAUUCAGAUCUAUGACUGAUUUUAUCAGUACGGAAAACAUUAAAACGAGUCAGUCUUGAAGAAACCGCUGAGUUGAAAAGUUGUCACACAAAUUAUUUCCAAUCUAUUUGAAAAUGAAAAAAAAAACUAAAAAAAUGUUAGAGUGAAUAAGUAAACUUAUAAAGUGGCAAAAAUCAUCAAGUGAUCGACAAAGAAAUUUGAUAAAGUGUUGGAAAUCGUUAGAUUGGUUCAAUCGAUCAUCCUGAUUGCAAGUCAUUGUUGAUUGGAAACGUCCGUGAGCAGAAGCUGGAAAAUGAUCACCAUAUCUGUUUUAUCGAACUACUUUUCUUCAAAAAUUCCAUCUAGGAGAGACCUAAAUAGUAUCAAGGACAAUCAUUGUCUUUUCCAUGGAAUUGGAAAAGUGAUUCGCAGAUAGCAGCAGAACUCAGAGCAAACAGUAAAGGCCGUAAAUCUGCAAAACACAACUUAGAAAAGUGAGCGCUGUAAUAAAAGUAGACGAGGAGCACUACCACUGAUCAAAUUUCAUUAUGUCAUCGUUUAUCUUUACGGGGCAAAA